GAACCUAUAUAAGGUAUCAUAUACCCAAAAUUUUAAAGCUAAAAAGCUCAAUGAUAAUUAAUUUGUAUUGCAUACAAAUUAUUAGCAAAUACAACUUUUGCAUCCUACUACUGCUUCACAUUUGCAAGACAACUCUUAUAAUUUAGUUCAAAUACUUAUUUUUACUGUAAUAAAAUUAGAUACUCUUAGUGAAGACAUUCUUCACCUUCAUUUUCUUAACCAUUCCAUGA
rnacentral:lncRNA from 1 species